GACGUCUCUGAAGAAGAGCAGCUUGAAUGCUUGUUUUUCUGUUUUUCUGACAGAGUCGGCUCAGUACUUUACGGGGACGUCUCGGGAUGUUUGCGCUUUUUGCAUAGGGACGACUCCGCGACGUCGGGGACGACUCCGUAGCUUUAUCACCGAAAAACAAGUCCUCUGGAAUCCCCUGAGAGAGUCGACUCCGUGCUUUCUAGGGACGUCUCGGGAAGUUUGCUUUUUAUGCGUGGGGACGACUCCGCGUCCUUCGGAGACGACUCGCGCGCAUCCCUUGAGUUUGGUCUUUUUGCUGCCUCUGAGAGAGUCGACUCCGCAAAGUCGGGAGUCGACUCCGACCCUGCGAGACGCCUCGCCAGGUGACGGGGACGUCUCCAGACGUGCCAAUUCUUUCUGUUCGUGCCAGAGACGUCUCUGGGACAAACCGGAGACGUCUCGGCUGUCCCUGAUCUGUUUUCUUCAUCUCAAAAAUUCUUCAAUAAAUCCUUGAAAAAUAUGGGAACUUGCCUAGACAUUUCUUAACAAUAUUCUUAAUUAAACACCUGAAAUCCUCAAAUAAAUUGUUAAGAU
rnacentral:lncRNA from 1 species